rnacentral:rRNA from 1 species
GACGAACGCUGGCGGCGUGCCUAAUACAUGCAAGUAGAACGCUGAAGGAGGAGCUUGCUCUUCUGGAUGAGUUGCGAACGGGUGAGUAACGCGUAGGUAACCUGCCUGGUAGCGGGGGAUAACUAUUGGAAACGAUAGCUAAUACCGCAUAAGAGUAGAUGUUGCAUGACAUUUGCUUAAAAGGUGCAAUUGCAUCGCUACCAGAUGGACCUGCGUUGUAUUAGUUAGUUGGUGAGGUAACGGCUCACCAAGGCGACGAUACAUAGCCGACCUGAGAGGGUGAUCGGCCACACUGGGACUGAGACACGGCCCAGACUCCUACGGGAGGCAGCAGUAGGGAAUCUUCGGCAAUGGACGGAAGUCUGACCGAGCAACGCCGCGUGAGUGAAGAAGGUUUUCGGAUCGCAAAGCUCUGUUGUAAGAGAAGAACGAGUGUGAGAGNGGAAAGUUCACACNGNGGCGG